UCUCUAUCAUCUCAACUUUUCCCUUUCUCUUCUCUCUUCUUUAGUUGACGCGCCCCUCUUCCGCCCACUACAUCUCAAAAAAAUCCUACACUCCUUUCUUCCCUUGGUUUUCUCUCGAUGGGGUUUGCUAUCCAUCUGAGUCGGAUCUCCUCUCUAGUGGUGGUUGAUGUAUCUCUCUGGAUUACGAUGUAUAUGUGGUCGGGUGCAUUCUGCUUGUCUCUGCGCUUUGGGUAGUUGGAGUUCAAAGCGCUGGGGUGGUGGUAGGUAAGGGUUUACAGAUAUGAGAUCCCAUUUUUGGGAGUGGAUUCUGAGAGAAGAGAAUAGAUGUCUUGAUCUCUGAGCGUGGUCAUCUCUGGCGCUGUGUCUCUGAAACCCUAGGUCUUCAAAUUCGAUCUCCACAAUCUGCUCAAGUAGUCAAAGUCGGAAAUUGAAAAGGCGAGUUGAACAUAGCCGAUUAGCCGAUUCGGAUGUUGGUGGAAAAUGGUUGAAAUGGCAAAGUCUAAAUUUGAGUCGUUUAAACAUGCCAUGGAUUGGACUCCUGGAUUUCCAACAAAGUGUCUAGAGAAAAUGAGUUAUUUGGGCGUAGGUGUUAGUCCUGGAACAGUUCCAGUGUACCAUAGCACAAACCUGAAAUUGUUGGAUAAGAGGAUCAAGAUAGCUGAGUUGGUGCUAAGGUGGUUUUCUCCUUUGAGAAGGAAGCUAAAUUCACUGAUGUUAAGGCUUUGGUAUUCUUGGUAGUUGCUAAUGGUUUGGCUGCUGGAUACUCUUUGAUUCAAGGACUUCGUUGUGUUGUGAGUUUGGUUAGGGGAAGUGUUCUCUUCAGCAAGCCCUUAGCUUGGGCCAUUUUCUCUGCUGAUCAGAAUGACCCAAACAAAACUCCAGCACUAUCACGCCACAAGAGAGGAUGUAACUGUAAGAAAUCAUUCUGCCAAAAGAAAUACUGUAAAUGCUUUCAGGCUGGUGUUGGAUGUUCCAUAAACUGUAGAUGUGACACGUGUAAGAACACGUUUGGUAGAAAGGAUGUUCUAAUUCUGUAGGAGUAGAAACCCAACCAGAAGUAGAAAUAGAGGCCUGUGGUAAAGAGUUUGUUGAAAAUACAUCACGGAAAAUUGAAAUUCAGAACUCCCACGGGAUGUCUAGUUCAUUGAAUUUUCCGUUAGAGAGUAAGAUGUUUGGGACUCUUUGCUCUCAGCUACUUGAGCAUUCUCAAACUGUUUCACACCACGAAACGACUGGAGGCAGAGGCAGAAGUGGAUAGGUCUCCGAUGACUUGGACCAAAACUACUUCUCCAAAUGGGAAGAAAUUUUUAAUUGAUAGUCAAUAGUUAUUAGUUAGGUCUUUUUCCUUUUAAGUCAGGUUAGUAGUUUGUACCUUUAGGCAUAUUUAAGUAUAUUUUAGUUUUAAGUAUAUUUUAGUUUUAGUGCGAUCUUUAGAUGUGUAUGAAAAAAUUAUAUUAUUUGUGCUGUAAUUAGUUGGCUUAGUUUUAUUUUAUUUGUGUUAUUUCAGAAGAAAUUUUUUCGCUUUCAUAAUGGCAAUUGUGAGGUGAUCCAAUAGUUUCGACAGAUUAGUAGGCAUUAGAUUGAUUUAAGUUUUCUAAUGAUGUAUUCACUGGGACACUUGCUCUAUUGGGUCUUCCUUUGUUUUCUUCAAUUUGUUGUUGAAAAAAGCUAUAGCAAUAAUAGAAGUAUAAUGUCUAAAAUUAAUUCUAACUAUAUGAAUUUACUGUUAUUUUAGUUGCAAUCAUUUUUGUAUGUUUAUCUUUAUUGGUCCAUUUUGUUUUCUUGAGAUUUUGUUUGAUGUGUUUUGAGUACAUACACAUGAACUAAUUGUUCUAUGUUUUUUUCCCCUUUAUAUUGAGGUCCAACUAUGUUUUUUUUUUCCACAUAUGCAAGGUGCUUCUGUUUUCUCUAAUGACGAUGAGUUGAUAUCCGGUACUCAUCUUAAACUCAAGUGAGCUGAGAAAGCUUGUGCCUUGGUUGCCGAAAUUCCAGGAAUGGUAGAAGCAUUGAAUUCAAAAACUACAGAAUGGAAACAAGAGAUUGAGUUCAAAUAGGAUGAUGCCCGUCUGCUCUCUAUGCUUGAAGAUUACACCAACGCCCGGCAAGAAAAAGAGCAAGAACCUCAUAAGCUGCGGCUGGAGUUGCAAAUUUGUGGAGGAGACUUUGUGUCUUAGAUGCACAAUGGAUUUAUGGGCACUAUUCUAAAAGGAAUAUGUUGUGCCCAGGAUUAGAAAAAGGAAAAGCCUCCCUUGAAGAGGUUGAGAAGGUCAUUGAAGCUCGAAUUUGAUGAAUCUGAUGAUGCUGAUCUUUUUAAGGAUGAAUCUGCAUCUGGUCAUGAGGUCAAGUGACAUGAUUUUCUAUGUCAUUUAACUAGACUUAUUCUGAUCAAGACUUAUAGAAGGCAUUAGAUAUGGGUAGUGCAAAUAGUGUCCACCCUUCUUUGAUGUGUAAUGUGAAAUUUUUUGGUUGUGUUCAUGUAAUAGGAAUUGGUAUUUAAUAUUUGGUAUGUAAUGUGGUGUGUGUCUUAGGAUGUUUGAUGUUUUGUAUGUCCAUAUUUUGUACUUUAUUGGACUUAUUGAUCAUGUAAUACAUCAAUUGUUAGGAUGUGGACAUAGCAUUAUUAGCCAAUAGACAAAUUUAAUUAUGUAGCCUUUUAUUUUUAUAAUUCAACUCUAUAAAGAUUAAUAAAAUGCAGUAGCUUUUUAGUGUU